rnacentral:lncRNA from 1 species
AUAUAUGAAAAGGGCUUGAACAGUGGGUGGCACAUAAGAAUAGCUCUGGAAGUGUUAGCAGUUAUUAUUAUUAUUAUUAUUAUUUAAUUGAGAUAGGGUCUUGCUGUGUCACCCAGGCUGGAGUGCAUGAUCAUAGCUCAUUGCAACCUCGAAUGCCUGGGCUCAAGUUAUCUUCCUGCCUCAGCCUCUUUAGUAGCUGGUACUACAGGCGAGCACAGCCAUGCCUGGCUAAUUUUUUAAUUUUUAGUAGGGACAAGGUCUCACUAUGUUGCCUGGGCUGGUCUCAAACUCCUGGCCUCAGGCAAUUCUCCUGCCUCAGCCACCCAAAGUGUUGGAUUCACAGGUAUGAGCCACCACACCUGUCCUAUUAUUAUUGUUGUUGUUGUUGGGGUGAUGGUUAAUCAUUAUAACAUCGCCACCACCACCGCCACCAUCAUCAUCAUCACCACCAACAUCUUGCAAAAUGCUAUGUGUGUUUGAGGGCCAGGAUUUUCACUGUCUUCUGCAAACCACAGGGAGAUACAUUUUAAGACAGUGAGAGGGAG